GAUCAUGGCUCAGGAUGAACGCUGGCGGCAUGCCUAAUACAUGCAAGUCGAACGGAGUGAAGCCUUCGGGUUUCAUUCAGUGGCGAACGGGUGAGUAAUACGCAGGGAACCUGGCCAUGGCAGGGGGAUACACUCUGGAAACGGAGCAUAAGACCCCAUAGGCAGUAAGGCGGCAUCGCCUUACUGUUAAAGAAAGCUGAAAGGCUUUGGCGAUGGAUGGACCUGCGGUGCAUUAGCUUGUUGGUGAGGCAACGGCUUACCAAGGCGAUGAUGCAUAGCCGGCCUGAGAGGGCGGACGGCCACACUGGGACUGAGACACGGCCCAGACUCCUGCGGGAGGCAGCAGUAGGGAAUUUUCGUCAAUGGGCGCAAGCCUGAACGAGCAAUGCCGCGUGAGUGAGGAAGGUCUUCGGACUGUAAAGCUCUGUUGCCGGGGAAAAAGGGGAAAUGCAGGAAAUGGCAUUUCAUGGAUGGUACCCGGCCAGAAAGCCACGGCUAACUACGUGCCAGCAGCCGCGGUAAUACGUAGGUGGCGAGCGUUAUCCGGAAUGAUUGGGCGUAAAGGGUGCGCAGGCGGUCUGUUAAGUCUGAAGGCAAAGGAAUGAGCUCAACUCAUUUAUGAUUCAGAAACUGGCAGACUUGAGGACAGGAGAGGGCGGUGGAACUCCAUGUGUAGCGGUAAAAUGCGCAGAGAUAUGGAAGAACACCAGUGGCGAAGGCGGCCGCCUGGCCUGUGACUGACGCUGAGGCACGAAAGCGUGGGGAGCAAAUAGGAUUAGAUACCCUAGUAGUCCACGCCGUAAACGAUGAGGAGCAGGUGUUGGGAGUGAAAUCUCAGUGCCGAAGCCAACGCAGUGACUCCUCCGCCUGGGGAGUAUGCACGCAAGUGUGAAACUCAAAGGAAUUGACGGGGGCCCGCACAAGCGGUGGAGUAUGUGGUUUAAUUCGAAGCAACGCGAAGAACCUUACCAGGUUUUGACAUCGGAUGCGAAGGCGCAGAGAUGCGCUGGAGGCUAUCAUCCAGACAGGUGGUGCAUGGUUGUCGUCAGCUCGUGUCGUGAGAUGUUCAGUUAAGUCUGGCAACGAGCGCAACCCCCGUGGUAUGUUACUAACGCUUUAGGGCGAGGACUCAUAUCAGACUGCCGGUGACAAACCGGAGGAAGGCGGGGAUGACGUCAAAUCAUCAUGCCCCUUAUGACCUGGGCUACACACGUACUACAAUGGCGUCUACAGAGGGAAGCGACCCUGAGAAGGGAGGCGAAACCGGAAAAGGGCGUCCCAGUUCGGAUUGAAGUCUGCAACCCGACUUCAUGAAGAUGGAAUCGCUAGUAAUCGCGGAUCAGCAUGCCGCGGUGAAUACGUUCCCGGGCCUUGUACACACCGCCCGUCAAACCAUGGAAGCCGGCAACGCCCGAAGCCGGUGGCAUAACCUUUUAGGAGUGAGCCGUCGAAGGCGGGGCCGAUGACUGGGGUUAAGUCGUAACAAGGUACCC
rnacentral:rRNA from 1 species